GGGCGAUUAGCUCAGUGGUAGAGCACUACCUCGACACGGUAGUGGCCACUGGUUCGAAUCCAGUAUCGCCCA
rnacentral:tRNA from 61 species